CCUACGGGCGGCAGCAGUGAGGAAUAUUGGUCAAUGUGCGAGAGCCUGAACCAGCCAAGUCGCGUGAAGGAUGACGGCCCUACGGGUUGUAAACUUCUUUUGUCAGGGAGCAAUUGAGUCCACGUGUGGGCUUAGCGAGAGUACCUGAAGAAAAAGCAUCUGCUAACUCCGUGCCAGCCGCCGCGGUAAUACGGAGGAUGCGAGCGUAAUCCGGUGUUAUUGGGUUAAAGGGGUGCGUAAGCGGAAUAUAAAGUCAGCGGUAAAAAUUCGGGCCUCAACCCCGUCGUGCCGUUGAAACUGAUGUUCUUGAGUGGGCGAGAGGUAUGAGGAAUGCGUGGUGUAGCGGUGAAAUGCAUAGAUAUCACGCAGAACUCCGAUUGCGAAGGCAGCAUACCGGCGCCCAACUGACGCUGAAGCACGAAAGCGUGGGUAUCGAACAGGAUUAGAUACCCCUGUAGUC
rnacentral:rRNA from 1 species